AAAAAAAUAAAAAAAUAAUAAAAAGAAGGAAAAGGUAGCUCAAAUGCAAUUUGGAAAAGCACAUCCAGACUCAAAACCAAACAGACCAGUCAAAGUCAUGCAGCUAAGCUGGAUUUUCAGACUAAAGUUUUCCUUUUACUCUUUUCUUGAGCAACUCUUGUCACAUUAUACCCAAAUUUGUUUUGCUAUCAAUCCUUCCAAGAAAGAGACACAGAAGGAGUUUCAAAGCCAGAAGAAUCAAAUUGAAAUGAAAGAUUAAUUGUAUGGUAUCAAGCACAAAACAACAAAUUCAGAUACCAGUGUGCAUUAUCAGAACUUUCUUAACAAACACAAUAUAAGUUUAUUUACUGGCUUAAUGGUUUGAAGACCCUACACAAUACAAAAGUGUGUAAAAAAAGAGAAUGGACAGUACAAUUACAAGGGAUUUAAGCAAAUUUCAACCUCAGGGAUGGCAUGUGCUAGUAGAACAUAUGAAUAUAUAGAAGCACAUGUAAGCGUUCAUGAGUGCAAAAGACAUUUAGAGGGUGUGAUUUAUUUAGUAGACGGCAAUCGUUUGAAUCAUGAAAUGAUAAUCUUGAGAUCAAAAAAACAAUUAUAAUGGACAAAUGGAAACUUAAUAGGACUUGAUUAGAAUGAAUUGGUAAUUUGAUAAUUGUUAAAAUAUGUUUGAUUUAUAUGAUAUUUAUGUUUGGUAUUUAAAUGAAAAUGGUUAUGAAAGUUGGAUGAUACUGGUAAUAAAUGCAUUCUAAUGGUUAGGUUACAAAAUUUACUAAAUCACAAUGCUCACAAUCUUGAGAAUACUUCACACAAUUUUAAGGCAAUUUAAGAAAAGUAGUUGCAAAGAUUAAAGAAAUACAGAAAUCCAAGUAGGAAACAGAAUACCCAUCUUGUAAAGAGAUCCAAGUAGGAUCUUUUUAUUAAUCUUCUAUUUGGUAUACUCAUAUUUUCAGUACCCCAGUGACUAAGUGAUUAAUUUACCAUAAGAGUAACACACCAACAUUCAGUAUCUUCAAAAGAUUUUAGAGGAAGAUGCUAUUUGUGUGGCCUAUCCAAAGGCAAAUUGCGUGUAAUUGGAACUUCUAAACCCCCCAGUACCCGAAAAACAAAAUAAAUAAAUUAAUUAAAAGAAUUAUAAAUAUACAUUUUUCUCAAGUGGCAAUAUGGCUUCCAAAGAAAACCUUCUCUUUUUAGUAAUCAAGGAAUAAUAUACUCAAUAAAAGCAGUUGAUCUAUUCAAGAAUUGGCACAGAACAUAGUAGGUGAUAUCUUUAGCCUUUAUAUAAAUCCUGAACUUGUGAAAGUGAUUAGAAUUUGCAUCUGCUGUGA
rnacentral:misc_RNA from 1 species